GCUUGUCUCAAAGAUUAAGCCAUGCAUGUCUAAGUAUAAACAAAUCUAUACUGUGAAACUGCGAAUGGCUCAUUAAAACAGUUAUAGUUUAUUUGAUAAUCGAAUCUACAUGGAUAACCGUGGUAAUUCUAGAGCUAAUACAUGCUGGUUAGCCUGACUUCGCGGAAGGGCUGUAUUUAUUAGAUAACAAACCAAUAUUCCUUGUGUCUAUUGUGAUGACUCAUAAUAACUGAUCGAAUCGCAUGGACCUUGUCCGCGAUACAUCAUUCAAGUUUCUGCCCCAUCAGCUUUCGAUGGUAGUGUAUUGGACUACCAUGGCUUUAACGGGUAACGGAGGAUUAGGGUUCGAUUCCGGAGAGGGAGCCUGAGAAACGGCUACCACAUCUAAGGAAGGCAGCAGG
rnacentral:rRNA from 1 species